rnacentral:rRNA from 1 species
AGCGAACGCUGGCGGCAGGCCUAACACAUGCCAGUCGAACGAACCUUUCGGGGUUAGUGGCGGACGGGUGAGUAACACGUGGGAACGUGCCUUUAGGUUCGGAAUAACUCAGGGAAACUUGUGCUAAUACCGAAUGUGCCCUUCGGAGGAAAGAUUUAUCGCCUUUAGAGCGGCCCGCGUCUGAUUAGCUAGUUGGUUGAGGUAAUGGCUCACCAAGGCGACGAUCAGUAGCUGGUCUGAGAGGAUGAUCAGCCACAUUGGGACUGAGACACGGCCCAAACUCCUACGGGAGGCAGCAGUGGGGAAUCUUGCGCAAUGGGCGAAAGCCUGACGCAGCCAUGCCGCGUGAAUGAUGAAGGUCUUAGGAUUGUAAAAUUCUUUCACCGGGGACGAUAAUGACGGUACCCGGAGAAGAAGCCCCGGCUAACUUCGUG